UACGGAGGGUGCGAGCGUUAAUCGGAAUUACUGGGCGUAAAGGGUUCGUAGGUGGUGAGAUAAGUCAGAUGUGAAAGCCCGGGGCUUAACCUGGGAGUUGCAUAUGAAACUGUUUGACUAGAGUUUGGUAGAGGAUUGGGGAAUUUCCAGUGUAGCGGUGAAAUGCGUAGAGAUUGGGAAGAACAUCGGUGGCGAAGGCAACAAUCUGGACCUGAACUGACACUGAGGGACGAACGCGUGGGUAGCAAACAGG
rnacentral:rRNA from 1 species